rnacentral:rRNA from 1 species
UGGGGAAUUUUGGACAAUGGGCGAAAGCCUGAUCCAGCAAUGCCGCGUGUGUGAAGAAGGCCUUCGGGUUGUAAAGCACUUUUGUCCGGAAAGAAAUCCUUGGCUCUAAUACAGUCGGGGGAUGACGGUACCGGAAGAAUAAGCACCGGCUAACUACGUGCCAGCAGCCGCGGUAAUACGUAGGGUGCAAGCGUUAAUCGGAAUUACUGGGCGUAAAGCGUGCGCAGGCGGUUUGCUAAGACCGAUGUGAAAUCCCCGGGCUCAACCUGGGAACUGCAUUGGUGACUGGCAGGCUAGAGUAUGGCAGAGGGGGGUAGAAUUCCACGUGUAGCAGUGAAAUGCGUAGAGAUGUGGAGGAAUACCGAUGGCGAAAGGCAGCCCCCUGGGCCAAUACUGACGCUCAUGCACGAAAGCGUGGGGAGCAAACAGGAUUAGAUACCCUGGUAGUCCACGCCCUAAAACGAUGUCAACUAGUUGUUGGGGAUUCAUUUCCUUAGUAACGUAGCUAACGCGUGAAGUUGACCGCCUGGGGAGUACGGUCGCAAGAUUAAAAACUUAAAGGAAUUGACGGGGU